GGAUUGUGGCUCAGUGGUAGAGCACUUGCUUAGCAUGUGUGAGUACUGAACCCAGGACCUGGGUUUGAGUCUCAGCACCA
rnacentral:tRNA from 1 species